UUUAGCUCUGAUGGAGGGAUUGUGCGUUCCUGGUGUAACUCGGGCAGUUGUUGUUGCCAUCCUGUACCUGUCCCGCAGGUGUAAUGUUCGGCUGUACCGAUCCUGUGCAGGUGUUGUUACACGUGGUCUGCCUCUGCGAGGACGAUCAGCUGUCCGUCCUGUCUCCCUGUAGCGCUGUCUUAGGCGUCUCACAGUACGGACAUUACAAUUUAUUGCCCUGGCCACAUCUCCAGUCCUCAUGCCUCCUUGCAGCAUGCCUAAGGCACGUCCACGCAGGAUUAACACAUUUUUUGAAGAAGUCUUCAUACUUCUCCCAUUUGUGGACUGCCUCAAAGGAGUUUCUUUCUGGCAUACUUUGGAGUGUCUUUGGAACAAAGGGUGCUGAGUCUCUGUGUCAACCGGCUGAGCAUGCGCCCCAAAAGCAGGAUGGUCUUUCUGUCCUCUCUGCCAUGUUUGAUGGAAUUCUACAGAAAUGAACGUGGUACCUGCAGGCGUUUGGAAAUGGCUCCCAAGGAUGAACCAGACUUCUGGAGGUCUACACUUUUUUUUUCUUUGAUGAUUUCUUUUGAUUUUCCCAUGAUGUCAAGCAAAGAGGCACUGAGUUUGAAGACUACCAUGGUGGUUUCCAGCUUCAGCCAGACUGGGACAGACGGGGAAGGGGAAACAAGUGAACAGAACAGAUAUUCGCCAGGACAAUCGCAGAAUGGUCACCAUGGAAACAUACCACCUGUACCAGUUCAGGACAUGAGAUCGCCACGUUGACCAUCUUUAAGACGAAACAGUCUCUGGGUAUCAGUAUCUCAGGUGGGAUGGAGAAUGAGAUGUUUCCAGGAGGAGCUGCCUCUACCAGUGACGUUCUGAUGGCGUGGUAUGAGCUGGUUUCAGUGGACGGUGAGUCUCUGCAGCGUGUGACCCAUCAGCAUGCAGUGUUCAGCAACAAGGCCAAAGACCCUGUGGUGUUUGUCAAGAUCCUCAAGGGACCAGCCGACUUGCAUCAGAGGAGUCCACUGUCAGGCUUACACAAGUACUACACACAGUAUUUUUAUUGAACCUUUAUUGAACUAGGAAAGUCAUUUUAAGGACAAAUUAUUUUUUACAAUGACGGCCUACACCGGCCAAACCCGGACGACGCUGGGCCAAUUGUGCGCCGUCCUAUGGGGACUCGCAAUCACAACCAUAUGUGAUGCAUUCUGGAUUCGAACCAGACUGUAGUGACGCCUCUUGCACUGAGAUGUAGUGCCUUAGACUGCUGCGCCACUCGAGAGCUCAGUACUGCUGGCCUGUCUACAAGAAUGCUCUGAGGUGCAGUUCACCCAUCCACUGGAAAUGGAAAUGAUUUGAAAUGGUUCCCCUGACGCAGAUGGUUCGCUCCAGCUAGGCUGCAAUGGAAGGGAAUGGUCUAUUCCCAGAGGAGAGGAGCAUGGGUACCUCGGGACCAAUAAGCAUGGGUACCUUACCUGGGACCAAUAAGCUUGCUUCUCCUCUAGGGCAAAAAGGUUAAUGGUUGUUUGCAUAGCAAACAGGAAAUACUGCGAAAUUAAAAUGUUUUUUUUUUACAGAUGUGGGACUACUGUGCUUGCUUUGUGUAUAACAAUAAUGUGAUAAAUACUAUUUAUCAAAGAUGAACUUGAUUAUAUGUAUCCUUUUUCUUAUAUGAACUUAACAUUUUGGAGAAAACACCCCUAAGAAUAAAAAUGUUAUCUAGCAUUGUCAGGAGUCAGCAGCUAGCUAUCCAUAUUAGCAUAUGUAUCAUCAAUGGACGGGGACUUUGAAAGCAGAGAACAAAAAACACACACACUUAACCACACACACACUGUUCCAGGAAGCAUCUCAGUCCAUGGACGUCCUGCCAGAGAGAGCCUUAUGAGAGGUAUAGUCCAGAUUAAGCCUCUGUAUUAUGUCAAAGGUCAUCGUUGUAGUUUAAUAGAUGUCUAAGGCAUCUGUUUUAACGUAGUGUUUCUGGCCUGUUUUAAAACUGUUUCUGGACAACAGAGUCCAUGUUCCUGGAUCAGGCGUGAUGACAGCUUUGUGGACUGAGCCUGUGAAGACGUAGGAGUUGGAGAACCUACAUGUUAAAUGCAGGAUAUGAGGACCAGUGGCAUGGUUUAAACUAGGGCUGGGGUGAGAGAAGAUAGGAGAGGGGUUAGGACUGGUGAGAGAGGGACUAUAUGGAUCUGGGGCAGGGAGAGAGGCUAGGACUGGUGAGAGUGGGACUAUAUGGAUCUGGGGCAGGGAGAGGGGCUAGGACUGGUGAGAGAGGGACUAUAUGGAUCUGGG
ensembl:lncRNA